CCUAGGGGUGGCAGCAGUGAGGACUAUUGGUCAAUGGGCGCGAGCCUGAACCAGCCAAGUCGCGUGAAGGAUGACUGCCCUACGGGUUGUAAACUUCUUUUAUAAAGGAAUAAAACGAGGCACGUGUGCCUUUUUGCAUUUACUUUAUGAAUAAGGAUCGGCUCACUCCGUGCCAGCAGCCGCGGUAAUACGGAGGAUCCGAGCGUUAUCCGGAUUUAUUUGGUUUAAAGGGAGCGUAGAUGGGUUGUUAAGUCAGUUGUGAAAGUUUGCGGCCCAACCGUAAAAUUGCAAUUGAUACUGGCAGUCUUGAGUACAGUUGAGGUAGGCGGAAUUCGUGGUGUAGCGGUGAAAUGCUUAGAUAUCACGAAGAACCCCGAUUGCGAAGGCAGCUUACUAAACUGUGACUGACAUUGAUGCUCGAAAGUGUGGGUAUCAAACAGGAUUAGAUACCCUGGUAGUC
rnacentral:rRNA from 1 species